CCUCAAAUUGUAUUAGGUCCAGACGGAAAAAUCAGAAAUCGUCGGAAGCCAUGGAUUGUCACUUUGCAGCAACAACAGAAAUGGCGAUUCUAUCAUAUUUCAGGCUUUGGUAGGUGCAGGGUGGCGUACGUUUAAGGAUGAUAAUGAGAUUGAGAGAGGGGAAAAUAUUAAGACAGAAUUAGAGAAUGCAAUUAUAAAUUCGAGGAGUUCAAUAAUUAUCCUCUCGAAGAACUAUGUUACUUCAACAUGGUGCCUUGAUGAGCUUGUCAAAAUCCUUGAACAUAAGAGGACAAAAGGGCAUGCAAUUCUUCCUGUCUUCUACCAUGUGGAUCCUUCUGAAGUUAGAGAUCAGAAAAAGAGUUUUGCAGAAGCAUUUACGAGAUAUGAGAGGCAAAUUGAAGCUGAAAGUGAUGAAGGAAAGAGGGAGUGGAUGGAUAAGGUCCAAAAAUGGAGAGCAGCUCUUGGAGAGGUUGCAGAUUUGGGUG